rnacentral:rRNA from 1 species
AGCGAACGCUGGCGGCAGGCCUAAAACAUGCAAGUCGAACGCCUGUAGCAAUACAGGAGUGGCAGACGGGUGAGUAACACGUGGGAACGUACCCUUUGGUUCGGAACAACACAGGGAAACUUGUGCUAAUACCGGAUAAGCCCUUACGGGGAAAGAUUUAUCGCCAGAGGAUCGGCCCGCGUCUGAUUAGCUUGUUGGUGAGGUAACGGCUCGCCAAGGCUACGAUCAGUAGCUGGCUGAGAGGAUGAUCAGCCACACUGGGACUGAGACACGGCCCAGACUCCUACGGGAGGCAGCAGUUAGGAAUCUUGGACAAUGGGCGCAAGCCUGAUCCAGCCAUGCCGCGUGAGUGAUGAAGGCCUUAGGGUUGUAAAGCUCUUUCAGCGGGGAAGAUAAUGACGGUACCCGCAGAAGAACGCCCCGGCUAACUUCGU